rnacentral:tRNA from 1 species
GGGCCUCUAGCUCAUCAGGUAGAGCAACGGACUUUUAAUCCGUGGGUGCCGGGUUCGAGCCCCGGGGGGCCUA